rnacentral:tRNA from 1 species
GGGGCUGUAGCUCAGCUGGGAGAGCAGCGCCUUUGCAAGGCGAAGGUCGAGGGUUCGAGUCCCUUCAGCUCCACCACGU